UCGGGAAUCUUGGGCAAUGGGCGAAAGCCUGACCCAGCGACGCCGCGUGAGGGAUGAAGGCCUUCGGGUCGUAAACCUCUGUCGGGAGGGAAGAACGUCGGCGAGGUAAAUAAUCUCGUCGGUUGACGGUACCUCCAAAGGAAGCGCCGGCUAACUCCGUGCCAGCAGCCGCGGUAAUACGGAGGGCGCAAGCGUUGUUCGGAAUCACUGGGCGUAAAGCGCGUGUAGGCGGCCGGGCAAGUCGGAUGUGAAAUCCCGAGGCUCAACCUCGGAACUGCAUUCGAAACUGCUCGGCUCGAGUCCCGGAGAGGAUGGCGGAAUUCCCGGUGUAGGGGUGAAAUCCGUAGAUAUCGGGAGGAACACCAGUGGCGAAGGCGGCCAUCUGGACGGUGACUGACGCUGAGACGCGAAAGCGUGGGGAGCAA
rnacentral:rRNA from 1 species